rnacentral:lncRNA from 1 species
UCUCCUCCACCCCCACCGGCGGCGGCGGCGGCUUUGACUAGGGUUUCCCACCUCGCUCCUCCUGUGAUGCGUUUAGUUUUUUCCCAAGUUUUUUCCCCCCUCCUUCCUUCCUAGUCCGCAGCCUCUAGAUGGCUCGCCUCAGUGGUGCCUCGUCGUCGUCGUCUCCUCCUCCUCCUCCUCGCGUGGAGCGAGCGAGCGGUCGGUCGGUGAGCGUGACGACUGCUUCCUUCUUCUCUUCUCGGAGAGAGAGAGAAGGGGGGAAGGAGAGGAGGAGGGGGUGGGUGUGAGGCG